ACUACGAUGUUUUUUUUUAAUCUAGUUGGCAUUAUAUUUAACUAUAAUAUGCCUCGUCUGAAGUUUUCUAUCGUCUCAUAGUUCAUUCAUCGUAAAUAUUCUUAAAUCAUGACUGUAGUAAGUGUAGUCACAUGAGGACCAGCCGUGACUGCAAGUCAUCGAGUUACAUUUGCAAAUGGCGUCGGUCUCUGAGCUACUACACCGAAUGCGCCUCGCUGGAGCGCCCUCGACCGAUGCAUUCGUUUGAGCGCUCCACAAAGCAUGAUGGCGGGUACCAAGAGCCCUCGCAACCUCUCGCACACAUAGAAGGUUCUCGAAGAGCAGCAUUUGUUUCAUACAGUACUGAACUUUACCUAGUGCUCAGUUUUUUCUUAGAGGUCAUAAUUUGUUGGCUUAUUUGAGAAUAAGACCAGGUCGAUAAUAUGUGCCCAUUAUUCUAACACCAGUAUAAAAUCUUUAAAUAGUAGGUAUUGUGAGAUUUAACGUUUUAAGAUACUAAGCACAACUUGGUGCCAGUAAAAAGCAGCUCAUUGACUUUGCAGGCAAAACUGUCUUCAAUGUGGCUUUUCAACAUUUUAUGAAGAAUUAUAAUCGUAUAAGAGACAGGUGGUGUAAAGAUGUACAAAUGGUAGUGCUUCAAGUUACCUCCUAGUCUACUCCACAUUUCCUUUGAACAGCAAAUUGGUCACGUUACGAGUACUCUAUCAGUAUAGGUGGGUGGAUCAUUACAGGAAAGAUAACUAUCGAUCUAUCUAAUCUAGGUACGCUAUAACAAUGUCUGCGUUAGAUUAGAAAUAAUUAUAGAUAAUAAUAAAUGUAGUGUAACAGAUCUA